CUGACAGUUUGGGUCUUGAUAGAAGUAUGAAGGAUCAUUGUUUCUAGCGUCAUUGAAUUGGUCCUUUUUUAUUCCAUUGGCAGUAAUAUUCCCUCCAAGUGUGCUGGUUCUUCCCUACAUGAAAAAAGCAAGUAAUAUCACCAACUAUUUCUUUCCACAUUCCAUGGUGAGUAGAUCAGUACAGAAGUAUUUCCAGUGGAAUACCAAAAUGAGCAGGAAUGAGAAACAAAGACGAAUAUCCAGCAAUCGAAUAGAGAGAAGGAGCUGACAAAUAGGUUGGUCUUAACUUUGGUAGACAUCAGACUACUGUAUUCUUUUUUCUUUUCUUUUCUUUUUGUCAAAUGAAAGAGAAAUAUUGACAAGGAUAUAGAAGAUAAAGAAUGGAGGACAAUGUUCAAAAUCAAAUAAAGAUCAGCAGGGAAACAUAAAGAAAAUAGGACGCUCCUAACGGAUAACUACAAAGACCCUAAUCUCCUUAUUCCCCAUAAAGCGCCACAAUUUUUUUACUCCCUCCGCUUCAAUUUAUAAGACACACUUUCCUUAUUAGUCCGUUCCAAAAAGAAUGACAUAUUUCUAUUUUUGGAAACAAUUUAACUUUAAACUUUUCAUUUUACCCGUAAUGAGAAGCUUCUAUAGCUACACAAAUGUCAUGGUCCCACAAAGCUUUUGCCCCUUAAGUUUUUAGGACCACAUGUUUCAAAAGUCUUCUUUUUUUCUUAAACUUUGUGCCUAGUCAAACUACAUCCUCUAAAUUGAAACGGAGGGAGUAUUAGAAAGUAGGACAACUUGUUCCCAAUGAUGAUCCUGAACGUAGUUGCUAUUUAAAUGCACAAAAUAUUCAACCAGAGUAACCAUCAGUUUAUAACUUGAAAGAAACACGUAAGCUACAUAUUUUGCAUGAUUAGCUAUCUAACCACAUAUCGCCAUGCUGGAUACCGUGGAGGGAGACAGAUAAUCCCAAUCCUUUGAGUUAGCUUCACAAGGUACUUGCGAAGUAAAGGACUCCGAGAUGCAGUGUUGGACUUUAGCAGCGCUGAUGCGUCAUUCCAAACACCAGGAACCACACUGAGCAGCAGUUUAGGGCUUCCAUUCUGCACUUAGAGGAAAAAAUACAGUGCUUAAAAAUACUCAUAUUGAACAAGACUGCAAGAUUACCAAAUAAAACAGGUUACAUAACAUAUUGAACAAUAGUACCACUCCAUAGUGAGUACAGCCAAAAUGAGCUGUCUACAUCAUUAAAGAUGUUAGACUGCAUCUGAUGAUUGAUCUGUCUUUUCUAUUCAACAACAGGUCUCUAAUCAUGACACCAGAAGAUAUAUCCGAAAGUUAUUUAAACUUAAACCUGGCAUUUACUUGAUAAAAUCCAAAUUGAAUGUUCCAACCCUGUCCAUUUCUUUAAAAAACUGACUGUCAAUACACUCUCUGUCUCAGAAAAUUCUCAAAAGAAAUUGCUCCUGGAAGAGCACCUAUAAGGAUUUCAUGGUCUGAAGGGCAAGGCAUGAAAGAUGAAUGCAGUUUAUUCGAAUUUGAGUAUCAGAGGAAUGUAUACGUUCUAAAGUAGGAACGAAUACUUGCAAAUUUCUAGCAAUCAUACAUAAAGUAAGAAAGUACUCCAAAAGAGGACACAAAGAAAAAAAGGUGAACCUUGAAAAUAGCAGAUAGUGCUUCAACUGCACCCAAUAACUGGAAAUGAUUGACAACCUCAUUUGAAAGACAUGUCAUAACUUCAUGUGUCCAAUCCACAAAGCUGAAAACAAAAUUGCAGGAAACCAAAUAUGAAUAUGGCUAAAGAACUUUGAAACACUUAAAUAAUUCCCUAAGGAGGUCAUCAAGGGCUUUGGUUGAAUGGUAAGAAUGUAGCAUGGAAUGUGUGGAUUGGGCGCACAUCUUAAGUUGAACCCUGACACUGACACGAAGGCUGAUAUUUAAGGGGGAUCAGGACAGAGGGGCAGGCUCAUCCUUCCCCGAGUUUCAGACCUUCGGGCCAGCUAUGAGCUAACUCACAUGGGAACUCUCGGUUAUAAAGAAAAUUCCCUAAGGAGCACAAAAAUAUCAACAUCCUUACUUUUCUCAGAUCUUCAAUCUUAAAAGAUUUUUAUUCUUGUGCUGUUCAAAGAAAUAAUAUUCAUGUUCAAUACAGAGAAAAAUAAAACAGAAUGCUUAGCAGGCAUCUAUGACAAUUUGCAUCCUUAAGGACAUGCAUUUCAUUUGCUGAUCAGGCAUAGCAGUGAAUUGGAUGUGUCACAUAACAAGCAAAGUGAAAUGCAGUAAAUGCCACUCUAGCACGUAUCUCUUCAUUCACAUUAACCAACAUCACUGUGGAUGCAUGAGAAUGACCAGAGCAUUCAUCUACUUUUAUGUUUACUUUUUUCCUUUGUUUGUGUGUGGGUUGUUGGGGGGGGUAAUUUAAUCAACUUGGCUGUAAGAUUUCAAAUCAUCGUGUUAUAAAUGGAAAAGAUUUGGCAGUUGGACCUGGUAAAAGCCUUUGUCAUAUCAGGACGUGUUAGAAGCCUUGAAAGCAGCAAGCCAGCUAUGGUUCGCAUAGGACCUGCACUUGAAAGGAAGUCCUUAGAGAAUUCUAAGAUUCUUAGUACAAGUGGAGGUGGCUCAUCACUUCCAGUGUAGUUAUUAUCUGCAACACUAGUAUCCACAGAAGAUAUAUCAAACGGGAUCAAUACAAGAAUGUAAAGCCAUAAUAGCAUCACGCAUUUAGCCUCCAUCUCUCCAGUACUUUCUUGUCUUAAUGAUGUUACAGCUUGUGUAUUAUGGCAUUUCUCCAGGAGAGAUACUGCAAGCUCCAGGUCAGAGACCUGAUGAGGGAAGAACUUGACAACAGCCUUGUAGCCACAAACCGUCACCAAAGAAUAGAUUAUGAUGCAUAUAGGCUUGAUUACUUCAAGAAUUUCUUCCGAGGCAGCACCCAGUUUGACAGCUUUUGAACGGACAAUGGACAUGAGAGGGGAAACCAUACUCUCGAGGUAAGGCUCAAGUAAUUGACCUUGCUCCUGAUAUUUGUCCAUCUGCAAAUCAUAUAUGUUUAAUAGUCGAACAAAGAAUUACAGCUUGUUUGGAUGGUUGUUACCUAUUGUAUUGUAUCGUAUUGUUACUUCAAAUACAAUGUUUGUUUUGAUUGUUGCUUAAAUUUUAUUGUAUCAUUUGUUGUUAGUAAUAUUGCAAGUUUAUUUUUCAUAUUGUUGGUGUGUGAUAUCAUGAAAUGACGGCAAACGAUACAAUCUAUCCAAACAUUAUAUUCAACAAACAAUACAAUACAAUACAGUACAAUAUAGUACAAUACAAUACGAUGCAUUAUGAAAUGACAUGUAACAAUAAUCCAAACAAGCUGUUAAAGUAUUACCCAAAGAAAAAAAAGAUGGAGUAACUAUUAUAAAAAUUCCACUAGUUAUAAGCAAUUGCUGUUUUGAAAGCGAAACUCAAGUACACUAUUAAGGUUUUUGGGCUUGGCCUCAUCAGAAUUUACUCACCGAAGUUAUAUUUUAAUGGUAUAUCCAAUUACAGAUAUAGCAUUGAACUAAUAGUUAUGCAGUUUAAACAGAGGAAAGAAAUGAUAGAGAGAUAGAGAGAGAGUACGAUAGAUCGGAUCUUAUGCACAGAAGAGAUAUCGGAGACACGGCCAUUGGAAAUAAUAUCGUCGAGGAGUGAUUUGACAAGCUUCCAUUCCUGAAGGAAAUAUCUCUGCACAACGCUCUCUUUAGAAUCGUGUUCAUCGUCUAAUUCAACUUCGCUUACUGCCUCCAUUUUCAANN
rnacentral:lncRNA from 1 species